rnacentral:rRNA from 1 species
UACAGAGGAUGCAAGCGUUAUCCGGAAUGAUUGGGCGUAAAGCGUCUGUAGGUGGCUUUUAAGUCCGCCGUCAAAUCCCAGGGCUUCAACUCUGGACAGGCGGUGGAAACUACCCAAGCUUGAGUACGGUAGGGGCAGAGGGAAUUUCCGGUGGAGCGGGUGAAAUGCUGUAGAGAUCGGAAAGAACACCAACGGCGAAAGCACUCUGCUGGGCCGACACUGACACUGAGAGACGAAAGCUAGGGGAGCGAAUGGG